UUACAGUACCGGGUGUCACGUUCACACAUUUGGCAAAUUCCUGUUUGAGCAAAGAUCAGCAAGAUAGCUGGCGAAAAACCAGUAACUCAGAAGCAACAUUGAAAAAUGAGUGCAGCAAGAAGUUUUUCAACAUUGCGGCGUACAAAGACAUGGCUCAGGUCGACAAUCAAGGAGGAUCGACUUAAUGGCUUAGCUCUGUUGAACACUCACCCUGUUCAUUAACUGUCCUAUUGACGAUGUAAUUAACCAAUUUGCCAGGAAGAAUAGGCGCAUAGCAUUCAUCAUUUAAGGAAGAGAACCACAAUUGUAACUUUUUAUAUCAUAAUAUGUCAUUAUCUUGUAUACGUGUAUAAUCAGUUUAAAUAAAACUUUCUUAAACUUUG